UGUGACGGCCGAAAAACAGGAGGAGGACCACCUCCUCCAGAAUACACUGUGGCAGAGGAGUUGGCUCUAAGUAACAAUGAGGGGCGACCAAUAAUGGAUGGUAUUUCAGGUGCUAGACAGUCUGACCCUGGUGCUGGCUCCUCUAAGCAAGUAACAGUGGGUAUGUGUCCAAAGCCUUACUACAUUAUUUAUUUUUGUAUUACUAACUAUGUUAUGCAGUAGAUGGAAACACAGUGGCCCUGCUAAAGCCAUCACACAUACAUGCAGUCUCCCAGACAGAGAGUGUAACAAAUGAGGAGACACUGUCUGCCUGUUCUGAGACUGAAGGCACUGGGCUUGCUGAGGAUUUUUCACAACCUACCGCUGAACCUGAGGCCUCUACCUCAAUGGGAUUCAAAAGGAAUGUGAACAAGGUGGAAACUGACUCAGUCAGGGCCCUUUACAAAAGAAAAAUGGAAAUAGACUGUACACUGAAGGAGCUUGACUGUGAGCUGAGGAGACUCCAAAUAAAAAAAAUUAAACUGGAGAUUAAACAGC